GCAAGAGAAGUUGUUCACACAGAGUGCGAGCAACGCAAAGGAAAGCAGUGGCCCCUGCAUAAGUAUACGAGCAAAACCGAGAUCUGCACUUCAGGAGACACGCAAAACACUUCCCAGUACGCACUCACAGCACACAUAGCACCUCUGCAGGACUGUGCGGACUACCAGCCAGUGUCCAUUCUCUUAGUUUUGGUCCCUGGACAUCUUGAGGACAUAUGGA